GGAUUAGAUACCCUGGUAGUCCAUGCCGUAAACGUUGGGAACUAGAUGUAGGGCCUGUUCCACGGGUUCUGUGUCGUAGCUAACGCAUUAAGUUCCCCGCCUGGGGAGUACGGCCGCAAGGCUAAAACUCAAAGGAAUUGACGGGGGCCCGCACAAGCGGCGGAGCAUGCGGAUUAAUUCGAUGCAACGCGAAGAACCUUACCAAGGCUUGACAUAUACGAGAACGCUGUAGAGAUACAGAACUCUUUGGACACUCGUAUACAGGUGGUGCAUGGUUGUCGUCAGCUCGUGCCG
rnacentral:rRNA from 1 species